rnacentral:lncRNA from 1 species
CUCUGAAAGGUGUGUGAGCUGGAAGUGAGAGCCAGAGUGGUGGCACCUCACAAUGAAAUGAUACCACAUUGCACACACUGAUAAUGGGUGUCAGAAGAGACAUGGCCAGAGGCAGGGGUGUGAUGAAUGAUUGAGUGCAGCCAUGUGCUUUCCUGAAAAAAGGGACAGGAUUUAGUCACCAUGCCGAGCAAACAGAGGAGGCUAUCAUAUAAAAACUAGGAGGCAAUGGUGAAGCCCCACCUUCUCACCAGGUCAUUCAAUGCCUUUUUCAGACAUCCUCAGACAAAGAGAAGUUCCAGAUCACCUGCUUGGGAGACAUGCAAGGAACCUGGAAGUUAUCCUUGUCAUCUCCAGUUUCCAGUCCAUCACAAGUCCAGAGGUCCAGAGAGUUUUAGCUCUGCCACUUGUCUGUAAGCUUUAUCUGAAUAAUUAAUAGCAAGUGAUGAAAAUAAUCUGAUUAGUUAAUUGACUGAAGGAGUGGGUGAAGGGGAGGAGGAUUAACAGAAGGUGGAUAGAGGGAUCCUGGCCCGAGGAAUCUCCAAGACUCACCUCCAAACUACAUAGAGCAGGUGCCUCUACCUGUGCUGUUUACCUCUCCUUGUCUCUCUGAAUAAAGUGCAACCCUCUCACUCACAGAAAACAUGUUUCAAUCCACUGAAGGUUAGAACAGUCCUGAGCCUGGAACAGCCCCAACACAUUGGAGAGGCUAAAAAAAAAAAAAAAAAAAAUGCAAAAGGCUUCUGUCCUCCUGCCAGACUGAC